GAUGAACGCUAGCUACAGGCUUAACACAUGCAAGUCGAGGGGAGACGACAUUGAAGCUUGCUUCGAUGGUCGUCGACCGGCGCACGGGUGAGUAACGCGUAUCCAACCUGCCUCUGACCAAGGGAUAACCCGUCGAAAGUCGGCCUAAUACCUUAUGCAGUCGUCGGAAGUCAUCUGAUGACGACGAAAGAUUUCAUCGGUGAGAGAUGGGGAUGCGUCUGAUUAGCUUGUUGGCGGGGUAACGGCCCACCAAGGCAACGAUCAGUAGGGGUUCUGAGAGGAAGGUCCCCCACAUUGGAACUGAGACACGGUCCAAACUCCUACGGGAGGCAGCAGUGAGGAAUAUUGGUCAAUGGGCGAGAGCCUGAACCAGCCAAGUAGCGUGCAGGAUGACGGCCCUAUGGGUUGUAAACUGCUUUUAUGCGGGGAUAAAGUGAGGGACGUGUCCUUCAUUGCAGGUACCGCAUGAAUAAGGACCGGCUAAUUCCGUG
rnacentral:rRNA from 1 species